GACGAACGCUGGCGGCGUGCCUAAUACAUGCAAGUCGAACGCUGAAGGCCGAGCUUGCUCUUCUGCAUGAGUUGCGAACGGGUGAGUAACGCGUGGGUAACCUGCCUUGUAGCGUGGGAUAACUAUUGGAAACUAUAGCUAAUACCGCAUAACAACAGCUAUUGCAUGAUAACGGUUUAAAAGGUGCAACUGCUCCACUACCACAUGGACCUGCGUUGUAUUAGCUAGUUGGGGAGGUAACGCCGCACCAAGGCGACGAUACAUAGCCGACCUGAGAAGGUGAUCGGCCACACUGGGACUGAGACACGGCCCAGACUCCUACGGGAGGCAGCAGGAGGGAAUCUUCGGCAAUGGACGGAAGUCUGACCGAGCAACGCCGCGGGAGUGAAGAAGGUUGUCGGAUCGUAAAGCUCGGUUGUAAGAGAAGAACGAGUGUGAGAGUGGAAAGUUCACACUGUGACGGUAUCUUACCAGAAAGGGACGGCUAACUACGUG
rnacentral:rRNA from 1 species